rnacentral:rRNA from 1 species
GACGAACGCUGGCGGCGUGCUUAACACAUGCCAGUCGAACGGAAAGGCCCUGCUUUUGUGGGGUGCUCGAGUGGCGAACGGGUGAGUAACACGUGAGUAACCUGCCCUUGACUUUGGGAUAACUUCAGGAAACUGGGGCUAAUACCGGAUAGGAGCUCCUGCUGCAUGGUGGGGGUUGGAAAGUUUCGGCGGUUGGGGAUGGACUCGCGGCUUAUCAGCUUGUUGGUGGGGUAGGGGCUUACCAAGGCUUUGACGGGUAGCCGGCCUGAGAGGGUGACCGGCCACAUUGGGACUGAGAUACGGCCCAGACUCCUACGGGAGGCAGCAGUGGGGAAUAUUGCACAAUGGGCUGAAGCCUGAUGCAGCAACGCCGCGUGCGGGAUGACGGCCUUCGGGUUGUAAACCGCUUUCGCCUGUGACGAAGCGUGAGUGACGGUAAUGGGUAAAGAAGCACCGGCUAACUACGUG